rnacentral:tRNA from 1 species
AGUUAAUAAGCUAAAAGCACUUGUUUUGAAAACAAGAGAUAGAAAUGAAACAUUUUCUAUUAACUU